GGGAAUGUGGCUCAGUGGUUAAGAGCACUGGCUACUCUUGCAGAGGACCUGGGUUUGAUUCCCAGCACUCA
rnacentral:tRNA from 1 species